rnacentral:rRNA from 1 species
AGGCCACUGCUAUCGGAGUUCGAUUAAGCCAUGCGAGUCGAGAGGUGUAAGACCUCGGCAUACUGCUCAGUAACACGUGGACAACCUACCCUGAAGAGGGGGAUAACCCCGGGAAACUGGGGAUAAUACCCCAUAGACUAUGGAUGCUGGAAUGCUUUGUAGUUGAAAGGUCCGCCGCUUCAGGAUGGGUCUGCGGCCGAUUAGGUUGUUGUUGGGGUAACGGCCCAACAAGCCUGUAAUCGGUACGGGUUGUGGGAGCAAGAGCCCGGAGAUGGAUUCUGAGACACGAAUCCAGGCCCUACGGGGCGCAGCAGGCGCGAAAACUUUACAAUGCGAGCAAUCGUGAUAAGGGAACUCCGAGUGCCUGUAAAAUCAGGCUGUCCGCCAGUGUAAAUAACUGGUGAAGAAAGGGCCGGGCAAGACCGGUGCCAGCCGCCGCGGUAAUACCGGCGGCUCGAGUGGUGGCCACUAUUACUGGGCUUAAAGCGUUCGUAGCUGGUCUGUUAAGUCUCUGGGGAAAUCUUCCGGCUUAACCGGAAGGCGUCUCGGGGAUACUGGCAGACUAGGGACCGGAAGAGGUGAGAGGUACUCCAGGGGUAGGAGUGAAAUCCUGUAAUCCUUGGGGGACCACCUGUGGCGAAGGCGUCUCACCAGGACGGCUCCGACAGUGAGGAACGAAAGCUGGGGGAGCAAACCGGAUUAGAUACCCGGGUAGUCCCAGCUGUAAACGAUGCGCGUUAGGUGUAUCGGUGACCACGAGUCACCGAGGUGCCGAAGAGAAAUCGUGAAACGCGCCGCCUGGGAAGUACGGUCGCAAGGCUGAAACUUAA